rnacentral:tRNA from 1 species
UGGGGCGUCGUCAAGCGGUAAGACAACAGACUUUGACUCUGUCAUUCGCUGGUUCAAAUCCAGCCGUCCCAGCCA